UGUUAAAAAGUUUAUCUUUUUUAUUAUUAAAAAUUGGUAUGGCUUACAGAAUAAUCAAAUAGUGAUGCUUAGUGUGUGACGUGUAUCUCAUGCUCACGUACAAGGACCAUUUUUUUAAUAGUAGAAAUUGAUGAAAUUUGUAACA
rfam:Gossypium arboreum cultivar AKA8401 contig_39827_1, whole genome shotgun sequence.